GGAGGGAGGGAAGGGAAGGGGGGGCGGCUCAGGCCGCGCUGCUCAUGAGCCGGCGGCGGCGGGGGGUCGCGGUCGCCCUCGCCGGGGGUAGCGGAGCCGUUCGCGGCGGCGGCUCGGGGGCGAUGCCGGCGGAUUUUCCUCACUGGAGUAGCGGAGCAUCAAACAUGGCGCUGCGGCCGCCUCCAGCUGUCCGGCCGGGCGGGCGCUCGGGCGCCUUCGGGCCGCUCCGGAGCCGCUCGGCCCAGAGCCGAUCGGCGACCUUCGGCUCUUUCCGGAGUCGCUCGGCCCACCGCUGAUCGGCAACCUUCGGCUCUUUCCGGAGUCUCUCGUCAGGCAGGACCGCUCGGCAAACCUCGGGUUCUUCCGGAGAGGGUUUCGCGGGCGCAAGCGCCCUGCCCUGCUCCCCCUCCCUCCCCGCUCAGCCCAGCACCUCCCGUGACCCCCGCGCUCGGUAAAUUUCGGCUCUUUCCGGAAGACGACGCGUGACGCAGUUCGGGAAGCUUCGGAGGGGCUCGGAAGAGGGAUUCCCGCCCCGCUCGUAGUUCUUCGGAGCUUCUCAGCAAUCCUCGGAGUCCCUCGGGAUCGCCCUGGAUGCGAUCGGGGACAUUCGAUUCGGCUCGGAGAGACUUCGGCAGCGCUUGGCGCUGAGGGAUUGGCCUGAGGUUCUCAGGGGACCCUGGAAUCCCUCAGCACCCACCCCACUGAGGGCUUCCCCUGCCCGAAAACUCACCUCCAGCCCCAGUUCCUGGCUUCUGGAGGGGCUGGAAGGGCCAGCACCGCAGCCUCCCCUGAGGCAUCGUAAGGGAGAGCAGCUCUGAAUGCAACGUAUCCCUCCUCACGGCCACCGUCUGAGCUUGGCAGCAGCCAAGGUGGUUUGUACCAUCUCAGAGAGAUAAAAAGCACCUCAGAACAGAUUCCAGCAGCUGCCAGAUUGUCCUGACUUGUCCUGCCCUGCCAGUGGCUGCCGAGGGCUCAUUCCAACCUGCUGGCACCUUCCAACAUUCCUGCCGCACUGCACGUCCCAGGGAGAUGCUCCCAGCACCUUUGCUGUGUUUUGUGAAUGCAGGUAUUCCACCACAAUUCAAACACGUGGGGCCACAUCCAGACCGAAACAGGACUCUGGUAACAUCGCUGGCUCCUGCCAGCCAAGCACUGGAGUGUGCAGGCAGCGAUUUUCUCAGCUCCACCGCCCUCUGCGGGUUUGCACCAUUUCCAGGCAGACCUCUGGAAAACAACGGCCACAGCCACUCUCCAGCACUGCAGGAAGCCGAGGGCCUCACACUGAGUCGUGCCAGCAGAAAGUGAGUGCUAUUACUACAUUUUGGUUCCAUCUGGGUGAGAAAACACGGUAAAAACAGUCAGUGGGGUAUUUUAAUGUCUUAUUUAUGCAACAUCCGUGUCCCCAGCUCACUGCUGGCUCAGUCCUGCCCCUGCCAGCAGCAGAAACGCUCUGUAUUCCCAAAAGUUUGCUAUCAGUGGGCUGCAGCCCCCUAGUUUUGCCCCAAAUCCAGCCCCCAAUAACAAUUCCAAGGCUAAAUAGCAAAGGAGUACAAAGCACUUGACAUGGUUAAUGGCCAUCAGCCCUGCCAGGUGCUGGGGUGAGGCUUGCAGGGAGCCUGCAGUCCAGGUCCUACCUUGCAUUUUCUGGGCAAGCCUGAUGCAGCCAUGGAGCAUCUGCUUGAAGAGCACGUUGGCCUGUGUUAUGGAGCUGGCAGCACCCCCCCUGCAUCACCAAGCCAUAGAAAAGGGAGUUUGAAGAGAAACCUGUGGUGGGGCUUGUGCCACUGGAUCCAACCACAGCCCAGCUGGCUAAAAACUCACCCAGGAGGAAGGAAAAGCAUAGAGGAAAGAUCUCCCUGCCAGGGAGCUGUGUGGGGUCAUGCCAUAGAGAUGGAAAGCAAAGAGCCACCUGCAGUGAGAGUAAGGUUUUAGGGUAAAAAACCCUGGAUUUAGCCUCCAAGAGAGGC